GCGAUCAACCCCUUGGUCGCCGGGCUCGCGGUCUCCUUCGUUCCAAUUCCGCCAAACUUUAUUCCUCUAUGAUGGUUUCGAGACCUCCUCCUCCUCCACUCCUACCCCUCGUCCUCCCAUGUGCAAGUCCCGACUCGCCGUCAUGGCAUCCCGCCCCACCUCCCGCUCCUCCUCCAGCGUCCCCAUCACCGACUCUGGUGGCUACCCCCGCACCACCGCCUCCAACUCCUCCUCCCCCUCGGGUGCCUCGCUCGCCUCUAAGACCUCCUCCUCCGCCUCCCUCCUCGCCCUCCGCAACUCCCUCCAGGAGACCCGCGACUCCCUCCAGGAGACCCCCACCCUCUACCCCUUCUCCGAGAUUUCCGCCGCCACCAAGAACUUCGUCGCCUCCUCCUCCUCCUCCUCCCGGCCCUGCUCCCUCCGUGGCAAGGACGCCGUCGUCUUCCGGCGCCCCUUCCGUGGCGACCCCGCCGCCCUCCCUGCCCGCCUCGCUGCCGUCUGCAAGAGCCACCACAGCAGCCUCGUCCGCCUCCUCGGCGCCUCCCUUGCCGGCGGCAGCAUCUACCUCGUCUACGAGCACUCCCCCAGCGCCCCUCUCGCCGACUGCCUCCGCAACCCCCGCAACCCCAACUUCACCCCGCUCUCUUCCUGGAUGUCCCGCAUCCAGGUCGCCGCCGACCUCGCCCAGGGCCUCGAUUACAUCCACCAGCACUCCGGUACCAUCCACAACCGCAUCAAGGCCUCCAACGUCCUUGUCACCGAGCCCCACUUCCGCGCCAAGAUCUGCCACUUCGGCGCCGCGGAUCUCGCCGGCGAAAUCCUCGCCGACGCCGGCAGGGAGGAGGCGGCGGCGGACGCGGAGAUCUCUCCCUUGUCCUCUCCGUCCCCCAAGCUGAAAAGAUCGGACAGCCGCCGGAUGAAGAUCGAGGGGACGAGGGGGUACAUGGCGCCGGAGCUGCUCGCCGGCGGGAGUAUCUCGCGGCGAUCGGACGUGUACGCCCUCGGCGUGGUGCUCCUGGAGCUCCUGUCCGGCGAGGAGCCGAUCAAGUACCGGUUCGACAAGGGGCACAAUAGCCUCCACAAGGUCUCCCUCAUCGAGACGGCGAGGGAGGCGAUCGGGCCGGUGGAGGACUCCGCCGAGCAUGAGCGGCGGGGGCGGGUGCGGCGUUGGGUGGACCUGAGGCUGCGGGACUCGUACCCGGUGGAUGCGGCGGAGGACCUGAUCCGGGUAGCUCUGCGGUGCGUGGAGGAGCAGGCGGCGGCGCGCCCGGACAUGACGUUCGUCGCCGAAGAGGAGAAUGGUAGUGCUGGUUUGAAAUUUUUCAAGUGGAUUGAGAGCUUGUAAGGGAGAUCAGAUUUAUAGUGUAGAUCCACAAGUUAUCAGAAAUUCGAGAAGGAAGGCCAAGAAGGAAAAUCGAGAAGGAAAUUCAAAAAGGCUGACAAGGUCGAGGGAGAAAUUCGAGAAGACUACAAGAUCGAGGAGAAAAUUUGAAAAGACUGACAAGACCGAGAAAGAAGGCCGAAGAGGAAAUCUAACAUGACCGAGGAGGAAAUCCAACAAGACCGAGAAGGAAGGCCGAGAAGGAAAUCCGAGAAGGUCGAGAAGAAAAUUCGAGAAGAUUGAAAAUGCCAAGAAAGAUCAGUCUGAGAAGGUUAAAAAGGUCAGAAGGCCAAUAUGCAGAUCUGUAACUCUAAGAUAGAUCGUAUUUCACCACUGCGGAUCAAACAACGUCCUCCAGAUGGUCCUAUCGGAUCAGAUUUUGGCAACAACAAUUUGAUGCACCAAAAAUGACAUUCAAUAUAAGACAACAAAAGAUCCACCGUGGACUACAUCGACCUACAAUGAACAUUGAGCUACAACAAUUGAAGUCGAUCUCGGCCAACUGAGAAAGGCUUCGACUUGGUCAGAUGAGAAUCGACUUACGACACAUACGAGCUUCAACUCAGAUGAUUCGACUUGGUUGGCUAAAUACCGACCUAAUGAAAGAUACAAGCUCCGGCUCUGGAUGAUUCAAUUUGGUCGAAUUAGAUCUGACCUAAUAAAAGAUAUGAGCUCCGACUUUGGUUCUAGCUAAUCGGUUACGAAGGAGCUAAUCCUUUGGAGACCCCACAUAGCCACAUGAUGGGCCAACAUCGAUGAUGACAUUGAUUUGGUAAGAUUUACUGUCAAGGUUCAACUUAUGAUCUACUUCAAAUAUUUUGAUUUUUGAUCUAUUUUGAAUAUUUCGACUUCGAAUAUUUCAAUCUUUGAUCUACUUUAGAUAUUCUUCAGAUACUUUGAUUUCAGAUCUAUUCCUCCAAAUAGUCCUAAUCAAAUCAGAUUUUGAUAGCAACAACUCCUUUAUAUAGAAAACCUCAUUGAAAAAGAUCCA